GACGAACGCUGGCGGCGUGCUUAACACAUGCAAGUCGAACGGAAAGGCCCUGCUUUUGUGGGGUGCUCGAGUGGCGAACGGGUGAGUAACACGUGAGUAACCUGCCCUUGACUUUGGGAUAACUUCAGGAAACUGGGGCUAAUACCGGAUAGGAGCUCCUGCUGCAUGGUGGGGGUUGGAAAGUUUCGGCGGUUGGGGAUGGACACGCGGCUUAUCAGCUUGUUGGUGGGGUAGUGGCUUACCAAGGCUUUGACGGGUAGCCGGCCUGAGAGGGUGACCGGCCACAUUGGGCCGGAAGUAGGGACAAAACUCAUACGGGAGAGAGAAGUGGGGAAUAUUGAACAAUGGGCGGAAGCUUGAUGAAGCAACGCCGCUUGCGGGAGGACGGCCAUCGGGUUGUAAACCGCUUUCGCCUGUGACGAAGCGUGAGUGACGGUAAUGGGUAAAGAAGCACCGGCUAACUACGUG
rnacentral:rRNA from 1 species